UCUUGACUCCACAAGCUGCAGAGCAUAGGGCCUGGGUCUCCCUGUGCCUAAAGUGUUUGGUAGAGUCAGCGUUGCCACCCAAGGGAAAGAAAACGAAGCCUGCAGUACUGAGCCCGAAUGCUGCUGGCUGGCUAGCAGCCAGACGUGGGGGGGAAUUGGAGCGCUGUGUCUUUAAGAAGGAAGAGGGCACAUCUUCGGGGGUGGAGCCCGGCCCCAUUAUCCAAGGGCUUGGAAGUUGCUAGGACCUGCCUUUGAGGAGAGCAGGCCUUGUGGGUCUGGUUUGCAGCUCUGGCACCACUCAGGGCCCUGCUCCCCUACUUCCCUGCUGCCACACGACUCAGCCUUGGCACCGAUUGUCUGCAUCCCAUGGAAAGAAACUGGUGCGUUUUCCCCAUGUGGUCAACGGCAGCGUUGCCUCCCCCGCCACUGAGAGGACCUCGGGGUAGAAGGAAACCCGCCCAUUGGCAAUGAACAACCCAGCCAUGGUGGCCAGGCCUGGGGCCCGCCGGGGUCCGCUGCAGCAGAGCUGAGGGACUCCGGCCGAAGGCAAAAACCCUGAUACUGCUUGUUCAUCAAUGUGCGUUACUCUUGUCUAUCAGGUUGGGGUUUUUUGUUUUGUUUUUUUAGCGUUUUGUGAUCACCCCGUGCUAUGCCCAAUAAAUGGCCUGACCUUGAAAGAGCUUGCAGGGAGUUGGGAGCAUUAGUCAGAAGAGAUCAGGCUCUGCCCAGGCAGCAAACCCCAGAAUCACUGUGGCUGAACCGAACAUCACAAAGGCUUAGCCGGCAGACGAUUCCUGCGACGACCUGCUCUGCUCCACAGAAUCACUCAGGGGCUCCGAUGAUAGACAAUCCGCAUCUUGUAGCUGCCUCGGUCACUGCAGCAGCAGCGGGGAAAAAGCUGGAGAGGGUCAGGCACCCGCCCAGGAGUGAAUCCUGGCACUUCUGGUCACAGAACAGCAUUAGUCGCCAGGCCCUGCCUAAGCUCAAGCAGGUGCACGCAGGAAGCCCAUGCAGAAAGGAGAGAAGAAUGGAUACAGUCAGGUACUAAAAGGCAUGACUGCAUGGAGAGAGACCAUUACUCUUUCAUAAAUGUUGCCAGGUUGCUUGCAGUACCGCGUAGCAGGCACUGGCCCGGAUCCUGGGGGGAGCCCGUCACCAGCACAGCCGCUCUCCCAUCAUCUAGCGAGCACCAACAGCAGCGUAGCGUGUUAGGAAGAGCACCCCCUGGAGUUGUGUGAUGCAGGAGCCCUGCUUUUAUUGUCCUUGCUUAGGUUAUGUUUGGUCAUUAUCAUCUGUCUUCUGCACCGGCAGGAAGACUUUGAGAGCAGGGCUUUUUACCUGAGUUGCCUACGGCUCUAUUUUUAGACAUUUAGCCCAGUCCCUAGGGGGCUUGACCAAUACUUGUUAAGUGAAUGAUUAAAAAUGGAUGAUCAUGAA